ACAUUAUUUUGUCAGCUGUCUUAGAAUGUUUGUUCAUAAACACACUUUUGUGUGAACAGUUGAAUAUUCGGCAAAACCCUUAGAACAACCUUUUUUGCUUCAAAUGCUUCCCUUUACAGAACCGUUCAAGUAAUUUAUGUAUAGUAUAUAAGGAUCGUUAUAAAUGUACUUUAAAAGACUAUAAGUUUACUCUGCAAGAACAAAUUAAUGCAUUAGAUAGAGCAGUCACGUAUUUUCAGAAUUUACCAGAGAGGUUCGCGCAGAAGAAUCACAAACAAAAUUUAAUCGUGAAAUUUCUUGUGUAGAAAGACACAUUGCGAAGAGGGUGAAUGAAUCAUAAAUCUAUGAACAAUCAAGAUAUAACGGGGGUUUUGAUGCCGAAAUGCAAUUUUCAAAACCGUGGUAUGUAACGGAAUCAAUCAAAGAGAAAUCACUCAUAUUAAAAUGGACUUUCCUUAUGAAAAACCAAAAGCAACCAGCCGGCUAGCCUGCUUGCAGGCGUUUACCCGGUGUUUUUUUCGCAUUCGCUAUGCGCUAAGUCGUGGUCGCCAUCUUGUUUUUGGCUGCGCUAGCUUGUCGCGAGUGACAAAACGUGACGAAGGGGGUGGCUCGUUCCAGCUUUCGCGCGGCCAGAACAAAACAAGAUGGCUUCGUUAGCAAAAAACGGACAAAAAAAUGCACUAGUGUACUAAUUGAUUUCUACUUUUUAUAUUAUUUGGUAAAUCGUUUAGAAAAGUUCUAUUAGGUACAUUUUUGUGAACGCACACAACAGAUAGACUGAGCUAUGGCGUAUUAGAAAACACCUCCCCCGCCGGAACCUCAUUAUUAUACUUCCCACAGGCAAGCUGCGUUUAAAAAAAGGGAAGCCCAGGAGUAAACAACCAAAGUUAACUGUCAUGUAAUUUCUUCCUGCGGUAUUCUAUGACGCCCGCAAUAAACGCCUAUUCGCACACGUACCCGUACAGGUUCUGCUGCUCCUACACAUCCAGCGAUAUAAGAGAGCUCUGCGACGGGAAAAUAGGGACAGCGGCAUCGCACACAUUUUAGGGGAAUCGGGCAAAUUUGGGAUAUAAUGUAAACCACACGAGGAGUAAUUCGAAUAUAUUGAAUUCUACAAAUUUCCGGGAUAAUGCGCUCACUCCCAUGUAAUUUCACAACAUGUUCUUUUAAUUUCUUGGUAUUCGAGGCUUUAACAAAAACACUUAUUGACAAUUUCUAUUGCAUUUUGUAGACCUAACAAACGCUAAAUUUACCAUUGCUUCUAAGAAUAAUUUGAACAGACUCUAUUAUGAAACUUACCAGCGCAUUUGCUAAUCAAGUUAUUGAAGACUUCCACAGAAAAGACGGUCCACUAAACACUUGAGAAAGCAAUCUUUAAGCUCUAGAGAGUCCUCUGCCAAAAAUCCUAUAAAUAUCCAAUAGAUCCCAACUUGACAAGUGAUAUCAGGGGUCCUUGUGGAAAUCAAUUUCAUCAGAAAAUCUUAAAGAACAUGCGCUCGAGGUUAGUCGAUGGCCGACUGUCAGUAACUGUCAGAAGGCCGAAAAAAAUACAAAAUGUGAUAAUAUGUAUUUUUUUAAAUUCUCUGGUUUUUAAAAGUAAACGGGCACCUUCGAUAUGUUUCCUUUGUAUGGGGAUUGUAAAAUGUGUACCUUUAAAAAGUAUAAACUUUAAAUUAAACUCGAAAUACGACGUUUUCACUGCAGUGAACGAUGACAAAUGCCAGUUCUAAAACUUUUUGCUUCAUUAUAGAAUGAUAUAAGUUAUUAUAGCCCCUCAAAUAAGUAGCGUCUUAUUUUUGGGUAGUAAAAUUGAGACCAAUUUUUUGGGUAGUAAAAUUGAGACCCAUUUUUGGGUACUAAAUUGAGACCAUUUUUUAGUAGAAGAAUUGGAUCCAUUUUGUGGUAAUAAAAUUGAGACCAAUUUUUGGGUAGUAAAAUUGAGACCCAUUUUUGGGUAUUAAAAUUGAGACCCAUUUUUGGGUAGUAAAACUGAAACCCAUUUUGUGGUUGUAGAAUUGAGACCCAUUUUUCUGGCGAUAGAAUUGAGACCCAUUUUGGUAGUAGAAUUGAGACCCAUUUUUAGGUAGUAAAAUUGAGACCCAUUUUGUGGCAGUAGAAUUGAGACCCAUUUUGUUGUAGAACUGAGACCGUUUUGUGGUUGUAGAAUUGAGACCCAUUUUUUUGGCGAUAGAAUUGAGACCCAUUUUGUGGCGAUAGAUUUUGAGACCCAUUUUGUGGUAGUAGAACGGAGACCCGUUUUUUGGUAGUAGAAUUGAGACCCAUUUUUUUGGUAGUAGAAUUGCUGUUUGACCAUUGGCUGAAUAUUGUUUGGAUAGGGAUAGUGUCGCAUCCUGAUCUGGCGUCUUCUAGAAGUGAAAAAAGAAGAAGAAAAAAAUAAGUCUUCUAGACGUAAAAAGAUCAUAACAUCCAAAACGUAACGGAUAACAGCGGAUUUCUUGACGUCACCAAUAACAAAAAUUUCCUCACCGGGGUCAAGUAGAUGAUUCCGAAAGAUCAAAUUAAAAUUGGCAUGCUCUAACCGAUGACACGAGUCGUCCCCAUACGAGGAGCUUCUACAUGUAAUUACAAAUAAGAGCAAUGACCAAAAAUAGCCUUAUUCUUGCCGCGAGCACAGGUAGAUAAGAAAAGUUAUAAAAAUUGAAGGCGGGGUUGUAGGUUGUAUCCGGCACGUUGAAAUAGAACAAAGCUCAGCAGUGAGUACCCUCUCCUGCACCGAGCUUUUUGUGUCGCUCGUUUACUUUGUUCCUAAACGGGCGACACAGAAAGAUCAUCGCAGGAGGGUACGCAGCUACCAUUGUCGAUUGACGCUUAAUAAAACGAGUUGUCAAGCGAGCUCACGUACUUCUAGUCCGCAUUUGUAUUUCUUUAUUCUCCCUUACCUCAUUAAGAGUUAAGUAUUAGUGGAUCUUAAUAGAUACUCUAGUCUGUGGGGACAUAUUUAUACAUGUUGUUUUUAAGAACCUCUUAUGCUUAGAAGUGUUCUUCUUUAAUUAUCAUGUCAAUAAUACUUUGAAACUGCAGUCCUUUUCGAAUCGUUAUUUGUAAAUACCUAAAUGCGAACCUAAGUAUACGAAAAACACAUCAGAAAAAAGGCCAUAAAUAAAUGAAUGUUAUUUUAAAAUGAAUUCCUUUAAUUAAAUACUGAAUUAAGGCGGUCUAUUAAUUGCUUUUAAUGAUUAAAUUGUGAAUUUGCUUUUUUAAAUUGAAAAACCACAAGCGAUUAUAAAAUAGGCGCCACAAAAAGGUAGAAAUGCAAUCAAUAGUUAGAAACAGAAUUUGAAUGCGAUGCAAUGUCCAUGAUAUUCUCGAACAGCUAAAUGGUUGGUAGCAUGCUGAGUUCGGCAGCUUUUGGUUCUAUGAUGUGUUGUUAAAUGAGUGUCUUAUUAAUUAGCGCGUUCAUAUCCCCAGGAAACCAAUAAACAUUUAACGAGAAUAGAUGGUGAUGCACUCGCCUGAAAGGAUAUGAACACUCUCAACGCUGUAUACAUAUCCGCCGAUCUUCACCUAUAAAACAUACGUUUCUUCUCCACUGCUCGCACACAUUUGUAACUUGCUACCCAAAGAAAUUGUAAUUUCACAAUGGCAUGCAAAAGUCUGGUAGUGACUUCUUUUGUUCUUUGUGUUGCGUUUGUACUCGAGACAAACGCUAUAUCGGCUGGUAUCAAGAUAAACGUGCCCCGUCCGAAAGGGAAGAAAUCUCUGGAUGUCGUGCACUACGCAGGUUAUACAGUAGAUCAAAGGCGAGCUGCAUCGAGCAGACAAACAACACAAGCGAUUGACGGUGAUGAUUUCUGUCGACGUUCCUACGACUUUUGCUUGACAAGUUUGCAAGAGGGGAGAAGAUGAAUAAAAACCAGGAACGAUUCUAGUGAAUGAUAGCACCGAGUACUGAAACAGGGUAGUAGGACUUGAACGAUUCAUACGAUUUUAUAUAUCUUGGUUGUAAAUGUCUCAAACUGCUGCGAUAGACUCGAUUCUUGUAAAACUAAUGUUGUUAAUCACCAAGUGAAAACAUUGUGAAUGUCUUAAAAAAAGUGUUUUUCUGCGUCAAGAUAUCGUGACACGAUAGUCAUCAAUAGGCCAUAAAAUUGUUCUUCAACAAAACGGAAGCGAAAUAUUUCAAAAUUUAACUCACACCAAUUUUUCUGUAGUUCAAAUUUCGUGAUCAACAACAGGACAAACUUCCUGACUUAUUUGAUUAUAAAUGCGUAUAAAAGUUUGUCAGCAAAAAUAAAGUAUGUUUAUUUUCGGAA